UAUCUUGAAAACUCAAGUUUGUUAAAUUUCGGAGUUAGGGUUUCUGAAAUGUACGAUGAUAAGGUGAUAGUCUAAAUGGGUUAUUUGAAGAACCAUGAUAAGGUGUCCAAAUUUCUUAUUUGAUCUUCAUAUUCUUUAUUUAACAGUGACUAGGAUUCCAUCUAUAGAGAACCAAUUGAUGGGGUUUAUUUUCCUUGUUUUUGCUCAAAUUUGUUGUUUUUUUUUUUUACUCAAAUUUGUUCAAAUCUGUUGUUACCACUUUAUAUAUUUCAUCACUUACUUGCAUUCCUCCUCUUUACUCAUUGACAAGGAAUAAUACAUCAAGCUUCUUUAAAGGUUAAUUUCAUCAUCUGUUCUGUUUUCUAUGUAAAAGUCCGAUGUAGAACUCAUGUUAUCUGAUUUGGUUAUGAAUAAACUGAUGAAUAUGUGCAAAGUGUUUGGUGAAAUGCAUCAACAAAAUGGAAUUAUUUUAUGAGCACCUGCAUUUUAAAUUACAAAGCAUUUUUUUUUAUUCUUUUCAGUUUUGUAAUCAUCUUUACACAAGUAGAGGACAACUUAGCUGAUAUUAGUCAGUGAUCUUGUGAAAGACAACAUUACAGUUUUGAGAACUCUUAGUGUUAGAACAUGAGUAGUAAUCGACUGGUUAUGCCUCUCAAAUUCGAGUUCAUAGCCACUUAAUCUAGCACCACCACCAUGACACUACAAUACCAAUACCACGGCAACCACCUUUACCAUAAUACAACAGCACCACCACCACCACCAUAUCACUAACCACCUGUCCAAAACAUCAACACCACCACUUUAGAAAUGUUAUUAACUUAGAAACUUAGACGCCAUCUUUUUGUAUGUGGCGGUGGUGAUGUGGGGGUGAUGCAGUAAUGCUGCCGUUGGUGGUAUUAAGGAAUUUAAGCUCAUUGAUGUUAUGUCCCUUUGAACUGCCUAAGAGAACAAUCUUGGAUGUUUGUAGAUUAUGUCUCUUAUUCAUAGCUAGCAGCUGAUUGAAACUUAGGUGCCCAUCUUUUGGUAUACUGAUGUAGCACAACUAUGAUCGUAGGUGAUGCUUACAAGCUUUGGCACCAAUUCCUGCUGAAAACUUGCUUUGUGAUUUUGUUGAGGCACUUGUUCUUUCAGAUAUACCCAUGAUGACUAUAAGACAUAGCUUCAUUGUUUUCACCUGACUCAUCUCUUUGUUUCAUGUUUUAGUAUUGAGUCUGCCAAUGAUUUAUGAUCUUAGCUAACGGUUACAAAGCCAGUAUUUCAAGUAUCAGCCUCAUUUGCUUCAUAAUCUUAACAAUGUACAUUAAUGGAUUGCAUGUUCUCCUUGUUUUCCAGAUUGCUUCCUAAGGACUCACUCGCCAACUGUGAGGUUUCAUUGGCUGAUCUUUGAGGCAAUGAGGAUCAAGUGUGCAAGAAGUUCAGACUUAGAGUUGAGGAUGUUAAAAGAAAGAAUGUUCUUACCAAUUUCUGGGGAAUGGAUUUUACCACAGACAAGUUGAGACCUCUUGUAAGAAAGUGGCAGACAUUGAUUGAAAUGCAUAUUAAUGUCAAGACAACAGACAACUUCACCUCGAGGACAUUCUGCAUUAGAUUCACCAAGCAGCGAGACAAACAAGUCAAGAGAACCUGUUAUGCCCAAUCUAGCCAGAUUCGAGAGGUGAAGUUAUGUCUUUCGAUUUCAACAUUUUCUCAAGAUUGUUUCAUCGUUCUGCAGUAUAUUCACCAAGCAGUCAGACAAACAGGUCAAGAGAAUUUGUUAUGCUCAAUCUAGCCAGAUUCGAGAGGUGAAGUUGGGUCUUUCGAAUUCAACAUUUUCUUAUCAUUUCAUGUGAUUCAUGUGUGUAAGAUUCUUUUGUGACCCUAUUGGAAGAAUAGGGAAAUCAUGGUAAACCAACAUUUUCUUAUUAUUUCCUGAUUGUAUCAUCUGUACUUUGUGUUGUCGGAUUCUUCACAAGAUGGCUGAAAUCAUGGUAAACCUGGCCUCUUCAUGUGAUCUUAAAGAAUUGGUGGCAAAAUUUAUCCCUGAGAUGAUUGGAAAGGAUAUUGGGAAGGCUACAUCAAGCAUUUACCCAUUGCAGAAUGUGUUCAUUAGGAAGGUCGUGAUCAUAAGUUUGAUAAAAUUAUGAAUGCAAGUGCUAUGUUAUGCGAAAUGGAAGGAGUAAUUGGAGAUAUUGCAACAGAUGACAAGAAUAAGUGGCCAAAAACUUAUGUAAAUCUUGUAGGAGAGCUACCAAAUUAGAGUGGCAAGAUUAGGUGACAAUCUUAGUAGAUGGAUUUCAGUUUUAAUGUUUAGUAUGCAAUUCUAGGUUUCUAUAAUUUGUCUUUCAGUUUGUAUUUGGAGAUUCUAUGUGUUGAAUGUUUUUUUUUAUAUUAAUAUAAAGUUCUUUAAAUUG